AUUGAACGCUGGCGGCAUGCUUUACACAUGCAAGUCGAACGGUAACAGGUUAAGCUGACGAGUGGCGAACGGGUGAGUAGUGCAUCGGAACGUGCCCGGUCGUGGGGGAUAACACUUCGAAAGAAGUGCUAAUACCGCAUACGAUCUGAGGAUGAAAGCGGGGGACCGUAAGGCCUCGCGCGAUCGGAGCGGCCGAUGUCAGAUUAGGUAGUUGGUGGGGUAAAGGCUCACCAAGCCGACGAUCUGUAGCUGGUCUGAGAGGACGACCAGCCAGACUGGGGCUGAGACACGGACCAGACUCCUACGGGAGGCAGCAGUGGGGAAUUUUGGACAAUGGGCGCAAGCCUGAUCCAGCAAUGCCGCGUGCAGGAAGAAGGCCUUCGGGUUGUAAACUGCUUUUGUACGGAGCGAAAAGGCUCUCUCUAAUACAGGGGGCUCAUGACGGUACCGUAAGAAUAAGCACCGGCUAACUACGUGCCAGCAGCCGCCGUAAUAC
rnacentral:rRNA from 1 species